UCUGAAGCUAGUGCCAAGUUUCUUGGAACUCGGUUGCCAAAGAGCAUUCUCUUUGCAGAUCCGCCAUAUAUCUCUGAUAUUGCAAACUGGAGUACUCGUUCCUAUGUCCGACGUAGCUUUAGACAGUUCGUUCGAUACCUUACUAUGUAUAAGAUUUAGUACCUUUAGACAAAUCGUGUGAUAACUCACUUUUUAAAACAGUUAGAAAUACAACGCGGAUAACGUAACAAUACAGCUUUUUUGACGGACUAAUAUGGUUAGUUCCCUCCACUGCCUUCCAGUAAUCUAACGAAAUUCGUAGCAUAGGCUUUCUUGAGUCUGUGUUCUGUAAGAAUAAUUGCUUUGGGUAUAGCGAAACACUUUCCGCUGAUACACCACACUCAAAGUCGUAGUGUGACGACGUUAUGAUGCUGAGUUGUUUGAAAAACUUAGCCAACCUUAUAUAUAAUAUGUUCCUCAAUCCCCUCAGAAGGUAUUCGCAGAACUAAAAUUGUUCGGUAAUCGCUAAACGUAUAUUUACCUGCACAUUUGUAUAACACUGAGUCUAAACACACAAAAAUCUGUCAGAAAUAACGAUGCAGUUCACAACAUAAGUAAAACAUAUUCAAAUUAUCACAAAUUUGCUAUGUAUCAUGAUCUAUACAGCCUGAUGGACGUGGCAUGCUGGGUGUGGUUUUUUUAGACCAUGAAGAAUUUAUUUAGAAUCGCCUGACACAAAUAGCUUAUUUGCAGUCAAUACCCUGGGUUACUUAAAGAGGCUGACAUGAUUUGCAAAAGAAAUUGGCAAGGUGACCGCAACGCCCCCAACCAUGCUUAGACGACUUCUGCUCUUUGUGCGAUUUCUCUUCGGGUUCCUUGCUACUGUGGGACCCCCUCCUGCCGUCCAGGAUGCGCUGUCGAUUGCGGAACAACGGAUACAGCAUUCAUCUUGCCGGUGGCUGGCCUGCCCUGUCUUCUUUGGUGAAGAAAGCCUUGCCCUGAGCGCCGCCGAUUUCAACUUAUCUCCGUUCGACUACUUAGUCACGGACUGUCCAAUCCUACUGGUAUCCAGCGGUGUGACGUCAGUACCUGCGACUAUAAGAGCAGCACCGCUGGCCGCUUUCUUCAGUGGGCAAGGUAACAGCAACGCCGCAACCCUGCUUAGACGACUUUCGCUCUUUGUGCAGACAAGGCCAACAUAUGUGCGGACAAUUCUUCCCAUCACAGAUGGCACUCGCGAAAGGAUGUACGUGCAGCAUGAGAGACUAAUUGGAAGACGCAUGGUGUCUACUUCAGUUUGUGCUGAAUGCGGUCUGCAUACGGAUGCGCCUGAUGAUUUCUUCGGCGAAGGCUUUUCUGAAUAAAUC